AUACCCGUUUCAUGACUGGGUGAGUGAGACGUCUCCAAAGGAAUGGCCGUGGUCAGCAUCCCCGACUCAUCAAAGCUAAAUUACCGCUCGAUAAUAUUGCAUUUUGUGCUGCACGGAUGCUCUCGCACACCUGGGCGGACCGGGGCGCUCCGCUGCCUAAUUUCUCCUUUGUGGGAGAGUGGAAGAGACCGAGAAAGACAAAGAGAAACAUCGAUAUGCCAUCAAGCAACAAGCUGGCGUAAUCCAGGAGUUUAAACGUCAGAUGGGCCAAAUGAUCCACAAUUUGGGG